GACGAACGCUGGCGGCGUGCUUAACACAUGCAAGUCGAGCGGUAAGGCCCUUUCGGGGGUACGACGAGCGGCGAACGGGUGAGUAACACGUGGGUGACCUGCCUUUAGCUCUGGGAGUAAGCCUGGGAAACGUAGGGUCGUAAUACCGGAUACGACUCCGCGGUGCAUGCUGUGGGGUGGAAAGACCUUGUGCGGCUGGAGAUGGGCCCGCGGCCUAUCAGCUUGUUGGUGGGGUGAUGGCCUACCAAGGCGACGACGGGUAGCCGGCCU
rnacentral:rRNA from 1 species